AGGAAAAACAUAAUUGAGCGCAACGCUGGUGUAAAUUCUUUUAAUCCGUUCAACAAUGAAAAAGAAAAACGAAAUUACAUCAACGCUGCACUCAAUGAUGUUCAUU
rnacentral:pre_miRNA from 1 species